rnacentral:rRNA from 1 species
UCGGGACGUUUAUUGGGCCUAAAGCAUCCGUAGCCGGUUCUACAAGUCUUCCGUUAAAUCCACCUGCUUAACAGAUGGGCUGCGGAAGAUACUAUAGAGCUAGGAGGCGGGAGAGGCAAGCGGUACUCGAUGGGUAGGGGUAAAAUCCGUUGAUCCAUUGAAGACCACCAGUGGCGAAGGCGGCUUGCCAGAACGCGCUCGACGGUGAGGGAUGAAAGCUGGGGGAGCAAACCGG